UGUUCUGAGAAGGGCUCUUCCGGAAGGGAUGCUUUUCAUGGACUGUUGGAAGGACCCCGCUGGUGGGGAGGGUCAUGACUAUGACUAUGAUCAUCCCGAAAGUCUCAGGUCCGGGUGAAGCAUUCCAGCGAGGGACAUCCCUCUGUGCUAGGGAUUAGUUCAAGAUGGAUUGAGAACCAAAAUCACAAUAACAACAACAGUUUCUUGGCAGGAAGCAUUUGCCUCAGAGAGUUACAGCUCAUCCAGUCAUGUGACUGUCAGGGCUGCCUGCCUGCUCCUAUUCCCUCCCACCUCCUCCCACCAGAAGCCGUGGGAUGGUUUCAGAGACUCAGGGACCCCACUUUAUUCUUCAGCCUCUGCCCCGCUAGGAAGAGAAGAUGAUUUUUCUUGUGGGCUUUAGCCUUUUGCUUUUUUACAAGGGUGUGCUGUGUGAGCAAGUGAUCCAGAGCUCCCUGGAACAGAUGGUGGCAAGUGGCAGUAAGGUGACACUGCUCUGCACUUACGACACUUCAUAUUCAAACCCAGAUUUGUACUGGUACCGAAUAAGACUCUUCUCACUCCUAGACCCACGCCUAACUCUCAGUCUUGGAAAACUGGUAUUGCCAAGAAGAUGAAUCUUGGAUUCAUGACUAUUUCCAGAGUCAAAGCCUUCACAUUCAUUAGUGCUGCUUUAAGGACGGAGAGUAUGUGUGGCAUAACAAGAGGUGACUGGGCAUUGUGAAGCACUGAUGAGGUUCUGGUGAUUUACAGUACAGUCCGCUUUUAGAAUGAACAACUACGGCUGGAGAUUGCUUAAAAACAAAUCAGUCUCUCUUGGAAUUUGUCUUCUCAAACUGCAAAGCAGAGCACUCUGGCAAAUCUCUCCAGGGAUUUGGAUUCAGAAAUUCCACAUGAGAUGGCUCAUAUAACUCUUACCAUAGAAUCAACAUGAACCAAGACAACAAACGUUUUUAAAAAAAACACUCUUUUUGUAUUCUCCACAUGUGGCUAUAGAAGCAUAUUGAAAUGCCAGUUUGAUCCAAGGAAGGCAGCAGUGACUGAGAGGCCAGCAGCUGGGGUCACUUCUCUUGGUUGGGUCGACUUCCUGGUGUCCUUCCUGGGUCCCUGAGCAAAGAGAGGUGGUUUCCUGCAGGGUUCAUCCCCUGGGGUAUUGUAGGCAAGCUGAGGAUUUCUCAGGGAAAUGCCACCUUUGGCCCUGCAGUUUUUGUAUAGGUCUCUGUGGGUUUUGUAGCACUGUGGGUAUCCCUCCAAUCACAGUGCUACAGGGCUUUACAAAAACCUCCCGUGGUUUCACUCUGUGUGGCGUCUGAGAACCGCUGGGGCCUGAUGUUUUCUCCAAGUCAAGCUCCAGCAAGAUGAAAGGGUUUUGGCAGUUAGGCUUGCAACAAGCUUGCCCAGUUGCUUCUGUCUGAGGCUUUUCGGCCUCUUGGCCAGACCUGGCCUGGAGCGUGCGACUAGAAUGGGCAUUCAGAAGGCAUCAUGUCCAUUCCCAUCUGUGCCUUCUGGCCAGUCUACUCUCAAAUGGUUUCUCAUAGAGGAGUUUGUCAGAUUUCUGGAUGUCUCAAGUGGAUUCUACAUGCUGUGGUUGGGCUGUGGGUUUGUGGUCAGUGUUAUUUCUCCUGUGACCUGCUAAGCCUCUGAAUCACCUCUGCCUGUCCCACUUUACACCUGAAUAGUGUUAUACAUUUUACAAAGGGCUUUCAUGUAAAUUUAAAAUUUCAUCCUCUCCAUUGAGUCCCUAGUGGCUAAAUCCAGAGCCAGUAGCCCAUAUGGUGCUUUGUGUGAUGUAGAAAGGGCAAACCUGCUGGGCAUAUGCAGAGGCACCCCCUCUGGCUCAGGCUUGACAAAGAGAUGGCACCUUUGUGUGCUGUAUAAAAGCUGUCCCUUUCUCCAGCUGAUGCACCUCUCCACCAGGGCCUUGGCUCGGCUGGCAGAGCACAAGCUGAAUUUUAGCCCCACUUGACCCCAAGGACUGAGUGCCCUUGUGCAAGGCAUGGCCCAUGCAACAAGACACAGUGGCUCUGGCUAAAUUCAGCGGAUGCUUGCUAUUCAUCUUCUUGUCUGACCUGUGGUUUUCAACAGGUUAUUUCCUUUUUGAAAACUCCUCUGGGGCCCUUAACAUACUGGUCCCAGUUUGCCUGUGAUCUCUGUGACUAUUACAAUGAAAGCCAGGUGACAUUAUUAAAUGAUAACCACUUAAGGAGAGUGUGCAUUUUGCUGCUGUUGCUAUCAAAAGGGCCUGAGAUUUUCUUUCUUUAUUUUUACAAAGAUUUUAUUUAUUUAUUUGAGAGAGAGAGAACAAGUGUGCAUAAGCAGGGGAAAGGGGCAGAGG